rnacentral:rRNA from 1 species
GAUGAACGCUGGCGGCGUGCCUAAUACAUGCCAGUCGAGCGAACAGACGAGGAGCUUGCUCCUCUGACGUUAGCGGCGGACGGGUGAGUAACACGUGGAUAACCUACCUAUAAGACUGGGAUAACUUCGGGAAACCGGAGCUAAUACCGGAUAAUAUAUUGAACCGCAUGGUUCAAUAGUGAAAGACGGUUUUGCUGUCACUUAUAGAUGGAUCCGCGCCGCAUUAGCUAGUUGGUAAGGUAACGGCUUACCAAGGCAACGAUGCGUAGCCGACCUGAGAGGGUGAUCGGCCACACUGGAACUGAGACACGGUCCAGACUCCUACGGGAGGCAGCAGUAGGGAAUCUUCCGCAAUGGGCGAAAGCCUGACGGAGCAACGCCGCGUGAGUGAUGAAGGUCUUCGGAUCGUAAAACUCUGUUAUUAGGGAAGAACAAAUGUGUAAAUAACUAUGCACGUCUUGACGGUACCUAAUCAGAAAGCCACGGCUAACUACGUG